GAUGAACGCUAGCGAUAUGCUUAACACAUGCAAGUCGAGGGGCAGCAUGGUCUUAGCUUGCUAAGACUGAUGGCGACCGGCGCACGGGUGCGUAACGCGUAUGCAACUUGCCUCACAGAGGGGGAUAACCCGUCGAAAGACUGACUAAUACCGCGUACACUUGGGAUAGGGCAUCCUGACCCAAGGAAAUGAAAUUCGCUGUGAGAUAGGCAUGCGUCCCAUUAGCUAGUUGGUGAGGUAACGGCUCACCAAGGCGACGAUGGGUAGGGGAACUGAGAGGUUGAACCCCCACACUGGUACCGAGACACGGACCAGACUCGUACGGGAGGCAGCAGUGAGGAAUAUUGGUCAAUGGGCGAGAACCUGAACCAGCCAAGUCGCGUGAAGGAUGACUGUCUUAUGGAUUGUAAACUUCUUUUAUACGGGAAUAACAAGAGCCACGUGUGGCUCCCUGCAUGUACCGAAUGAAUAAGCAUCGGCUAACUCCGUG
rnacentral:rRNA from 1 species